AUCAUAUCUUGGCCUUUUGGCUAAGACCAAGUGUAGAAU
rnacentral:snRNA from 1 species